rnacentral:lncRNA from 1 species
GGAGAGGGAAACAAAAAGGGGCAGAACCUUUGUUUUCUCUUGAGUUUUACGGACAUCUUCUAACAACCAUUACUGACUAUGGCACGAUAUCUCUUCGAGGCCGCAUAAUAACAUCUUGGAUCCCAGACCAAAUGGCAACUGACCUUUUCCUGAGUUGGGACCCACAGAACUGUUGCACACCAAAAACUCUGUUCUGCCUUUGGAAUUCUGGAUAUCAUCUUGGUUUGGUUUGUUUCUCUGAACCAGUCACUGUCACAAUCACAAAAGUAGUCAACUAUGAUCCUCAUCCAAGCUGCAAUUUCCCUCCUCCCCUUCUCCAGUGUGGAAAGGAAGUUCCACACCUUCAAAACCAGUUGCUAUGCUGAAUGAAAAUCCCUUCAAAGGCAUUCAAGUACAACUAAGAUGAGGAGAAUGCAAAAUGGUCUUGGAAGUCCUGGACGAGAAUAGUUAAAUGGAUGGAGAUGGUUAUCAGAGGUUUCACAAACAAGAUUAAUUGAUCUCAAGCACUAACACAAAGUGCACUAGAACCCCCAAAGCAGAGGAAUCAUUCUCAUAAAUAUCUACUUCUAGCCAAAUUAAUUUUGUUCCUAGAAAAGGAUAUACUAGUAUAGCAUUGAUAUCUGUUUCUGUCUUAAUCUCAUGUUGAACUGCUAAACAUACUAAACUAGUGUUCCUGAGCCUUUUAGGCGUAGUAGUGGCAUAGGUAAGUCCUGGUAUCAUCA